UACAUGGGGUGCAAACGUUGCUCGGAAUUAUUGGGCGUAAAGCGCACGUAGGUGGUCGCUUAAGUCGGAUGUGAAAGCCCUCGGCUCAACUGAGGAAGUGCAUCCGAAACUGAGUGGCUAGAGUAUGGAAGAGGGUCGCGGAAUUCCCGGUGUAGAGGUGAAAUGCGUAGAUAUCGGGAGGAACAUCAGUGGCGAAGGCGGCCCUCUGGUCCAGUACUGACACUCAAGUGCGAAAGCGUGGGGAGCAAACAGG
rnacentral:rRNA from 1 species